CAGAAAAAAAUCAAGACCUCAUUUCACAUCUUGUGAUUUCUUGUCAAACUCCUACAUUUCCAAACACCAUUUUUGAUGUGACACACCCACUUCCCUCUUCCCCUCUCACCAAUUUUAAAAUUCAGGGGAAAAUAGCUAACUCUCCAUCCACCUACCCAACAUUUAAAUGAGCACUGAAUUUAGUACUAGUGAAAGACAUUACAACCCAGAGUCCUGGAAAAUGAACUCCACAUAACAGCACAGGAAGGAGGUUCCUCGCUUACACAAUUCAUUCGUGAACUGGAGGGGUCAGCUACAGGACAACACAGAUUAUCCCCUGGUAUCCCUGUCUACCAUCUCUCAGACCUUCAGAUAAUGGUUCCUCCUCCUCUAAACAAGUUCCAAGAAAUGCGGGGGGGGGGGGGGAACACAACUGGGAGGCCACUUAAGCCCUGAGGAUUUUCCCCACUUUCUGCUGCUGUCCAGAAGGUUGAGUCCUUGCAGGAGUCAGGCUCAAGAGACAAAAUAUGGUCUGGAACAUUACUGCUCUGAAGAGACUUUGCCAAUCCUUAACACUGUCAGUUUUGACAAAAAAACAAAAACAAAAAAAACAACACAGGGUAUAAAUAUUCUCUCUCCGGAAGGAGAAUGAGAAUCACAAGGGAAACAGUCAGAACCAUUUUUCUUACCACUGUGAACAGCAGCUAGAUAUUAACUGCAUCUUUAUGGUAGAAUAGUUAAGUAACUGGAUAUAAUGUAUUUCUAAAAUGCAAGAAGUUGAUAAAAUUUCCUUUUGAUGAUUACAUAUCAAAAAAUGCAUGAACUAAACACAAAAAUGCAAUAGCAGGAGGCAAUAUUUGAAUUAAUGAAGCAGUUUUUAAAAUAGAAAAUGCCUUAAACUGGGUGAUAAAAAUCAUGAUUUUACCUGGUAAAAACUACUUCUGCUAAAUAUCAUGCCAUCCCUGGCCCCAGUACUAAUACUUAGCAUUGUUAUGGCACUUUCCCAUCCCUAGAUCUCAACACAAUUUUACAGAGAUAAAUAAAUAGCUUCAUCCAUGUUUACAGAUGGGGAAACUGAGGCAGAGGAAGUGACUUUCCUAAGGUCCCACAGCAAGUCAAUGGUUGUGUGAAUAGAAACCAGGUGUCUUGACUCCUAAUCUGGUGUCUAGACAAUGUUGUCCACUGGAUGGAACAUGUUUCCUAUGCUAAUGUCUAAAAAUGACCAGUGGCAAUUAGUGUAAUUGCUCAUUCUUCAUUUCCUCCUAUUGUAGCUGCCACGUUUUUAUCUCAAAGAUGGCAGCAUUCCAUUGAUCAGUAAUAGAAUUGUUGUGUACAACACCCAGAUCCAUGGGGAUGAAGACACAAAUGUCAGGGAUUAUUAGCGGCCUAACUUUGCAGGAAUAACUGGAUUUGAGGUCAGUUACUAAAACGUGUCAUUAGAAUGA